rnacentral:lncRNA from 1 species
GAAUUCUGAAAUUGGUUGUCACAGAUGAAAUGUAUCUCCAUGCAAACGAGUUGGGAAUCUGUUAAAUCUUACAUGUGUACAUAUGCAAUGAUGCUUUAUCGAUAAGUUUUCAUCUCAUUCUUUCUGCACCCCCUUCAUUCUCUUGCCCAGUUCUCUCCUGGCAGUAGCUGUGCCAAAACAUCACUUUGGGAGGAAAGGAUUUUUUUUAUCGCUUGCUAGGCACCACGCAUUCCCAAGCAAAAAGACUGCUCCCCUCCUUUCUCAAUUUCACCUACAUGGGAGGUGUCACUCUGGAUGGGAAGGCCAUUCUGUUCUAAGCCAAAAGACCAUGAGUGGUCAUUCUUCCUACCGUGGAUGCCCUGCCCUAGCCAAUAGUUCUGUACAUCUCCAGAAGCACUGAUACCCUGGAAACCACUUUUCCUUAUCUUCCUAACUGUCAAACAUAUUUUCAUCAGACACUCAUGAAGAUACACAUCAACGAACUCAUCUCUAAAUACCUCUUAUCAAAAAAGUUUUAGGUCAUGCCUGGUGCAAAGUAAAUGGUCUAAUUAUAUAAACACUAAUCUAACUCAUAAACUACCCGAUGGGGUCCGAGAAUCACGCUUUGAGAAACACUGCGCUAAAUGAGGAUAAUGACAGAGGAGCAGUCAAAACUGAGACGAACAAUUUCAUUUUAUAUUUGUAACACCAGUACCCAGUUAAACAGGGAGCAUGCUACGUGGUUAAAAAGCCAACUCUUUCAUGAACAAGGAAAAAAUCUUAUCCCUUUCUCUUCGUAAACGCUACGAAUCCAUUACAUUUUCAGGUUGUGCCUUACUAUCACUGAGAAUGAUGUGUUGAUUCUAAUUGUCUUUACUGGUAUCAAUUUUCAUGUAAAUGAUAGUCCAAUCUUAAAAGCCUGUAUACAUGGAUAAUAAACACCUCCACACUGAGACAUGACGACCUCAAGAUGUUUCAUUUAACUCGCUGUGAGCCCUAGGUACCAGCACGAUCUGAAUCGGGACUGCUGUCCACUCGAUAUUGCUCCAGCCAUAUGGCUCCAGCAAUUCACACAGAUGCUGUGGACUCGCAUAUUUAUUAAGUAUGAUGGAAAGUUUCACCUAGAACAUGAAACAGGCACAAUUAAAAGUCUGUAGAAGCUAUGCUAAUCAAACCAUAAGCUAGUAUAAUUAUUCAUAUCCCACAUCUAUAAAGAAGCUCAUCGGAAGUUCAUACCCAUUCCACUGGAAAAGUGGCAAUUUGUGAGGACUGACCGGUUUGUUAAUAUGUGGCACCUCAAAAUUACAGCAAAUCAAAAGAGCAGGAAUAAGCUUUACUUUUCAGAAAGAGUGAGAUCUACCUAGUAGUUAAAAGACCAGAUUCUCUUGCCCCAGUUAGGAAGUGAGUCUGAUAACUCCGCGGGUUAUCAGACCUGUCUGUACGUCAGUGUCUCCACAUACAAAAUGAGGGUAAUAAGUUCCCUUUCUCGCUGCCCCUCGGGGUGAGUAUAAACUGUGCGAAAGCACAAGCGCUCCCUCUCACGCAUCUAGAAUUCCCAAGGGAUCUGGGGCGGGGGGAAGAAUUUCUGAGUCACUGUUUGUCUCCACAUCCACCCUCCCCACCACUCCUGUCUGGCCCUCUCAGCUCUCCCAUUCGUGCCAUGUUGGUGUCAUCUGUCACUUGGUUUAAUGACAGUAGCAAGUCCUUUCAGCUCAAAAGAAUGUAAAGAUUUUCUACCACACUUAAUGUUAAAAAAAAAAAAAAAGCAUCACAGAAAGGAAGAUAUCUAAUCAAUUUGAUGACUUUUUAAAAAAAUCUCUGGCACCUCCAUACAGUUCUUGGUAAAUUCUACAGCUGUAAGAUCUUAUGUAACUAUGGAUUAACUUUAUCCUGUGAAAUGUGGGGCUUUUACAUCCAAUUCAUGGGGCACACCUCUAAGAAGCUCUAAUUGAUCAGGCUAUGUUGAUAAAGUUUCUCCAGUAACAGCAGGAUUAAAAUUCACAUGAGCUUUAUAAACCUAAAACACAAUGCAUAUGAAUCCAGCCUACUCUGAGUAGCAGAUUUCUGAUGACAAGAUUCAUACAAUUGUAUGACGUGUGUUGUCAAUCUGUCUUUAGCUAAUGACUUUUUAAAUGGGUCCCCGAAGAACAUACCGUUUGACUUUGCCAAUUUCACUACAGCAGAUGGUUCCCUGUGCUGUUGCGUGAACAUACACAACAAAAUCCAGCAUUCCCAUCAUCCUCCACGAGAUGCCCUAAAAUGACAGAUAAUCAUCGAGAACAAAUAGUAAGGCUUCUAGUAAGAUUCUGUUUUGAUUCGGGGUCCGGAGUAGGUGUAUUUAAUUUUUAAUGCACCACUCAAAUAUGAAGCUAUUUUUAGCUCUAGCGUAACAAUAACAAUUUGGAAAGCUCCUGUAAAUAAGAAUAUGCCCUAGGGUUGGGGGGAGGGAGGAGCACAGACUAUAACCACAGCACUAAAGCGACGACUCUCCCGUCCCUCAGGGUCCAGUAAAUAAGCUUGUUACCUCUGACUUCCGUGUAAGUGAUGCCACCACAGGCUCACCUCAGGAGAGCCGCAGGUAUCGAGUCUAUUUGCAGCGCCAUCCCCUGUCCACCUCUCCGAACCCUCUGCUUGACAGGUGCUCCGGCUGUUGCCCGCUCCAUUCAUCCACUAAGGCCUAGAGCCCCCCUGAAAGCAAUUCUUCACAAUUAGUUAUCCCGCCAUCACUAAAAGGCUCAUUGGGCAGGUGCGUUCCAGCUGCUGUUAGUUGCAAGGGGGUCUUAUUAAAUGAACUUACUAAGCCUUCGCAGCCAAUGUAUUAACACUCCUUAGAGCAUUUACACUUGGAGAGGCUAUUUACCAAUACAGAUGACUAUCAGACUGAGAAACCUCAGAUGGUUAUACUCUUUUGCAUGGUUUAGCACUCACCGGUUAUUUGAAAAUCAGCAAGCAGGCUGAGUAGGAGUUAAGAAUGUAGGUAUUAGACAGCAAUUACCUACCCACAUGACUCAAGCAAUUUAAACUCUUACUUCCUCAUUGAAAAACAUGAGCAGUUUGGUCUCUAAGGCCCCCUUCCAACUUUGAAGUCUGCUUGUGUAAGACUUCACCUCUGUGUAAGGGAAAUCCAAACAUCUGGCCCACAGUUGGCAGACAUGAUGGCAUGUGCACGUGUGCUCAGGCACGUGCACGCAUGCACGUGUGUGUGUGUGUGUGUGUGUGAGACUUCAUUCAUUCAGAGCCAAAGCCAAUUAAUUCAGUGCAUAAUCCCAGCAAGCCGAAUUAUAUUUAAUCUUUAUACAAAAGUAGACCAGAAAGAAUUUUAGCAUCAGUUCUCUGUUUAUUGUUCUUUUCAAAGAACUCUUUAACAACUCAUAAAAUCAUUAACAUAGAAAACGAGGUUCCUCUGGGGGUGGUUUCCUGAGUGAAGCAAAGCUGACACGGGACUAUGGGAAGCAUCUCUGUUUAAUGACCCUCCUGCUCACCAUCACACCAUUCAGUUCUCUUUUUUACAUUUGCUACAAUAGCAGCCUUAUUAGCAAAGUAAGAUCAUACAACUUGUCACUCGAAGGUUAUCUUUUACUGCACCUAACGCUGGAUGAUAGAUCUGAAGCACCUUCUGUCCCAGAGGAACGAAGCCCAGGAUAAGCCACCCGUCCCAGGCCGGGAGGUGUCUGGAGGCAGGCAUCCGAGCAGGCAGCGUGGGAGCCUUAUGAUGAGGAAUUCCCUAGUAACAGGAGCCCUUUCUCCCAGUCACCACUGGAUUGGGUAGAGUCUCUCUUUUCAGGUUUGCGGAGAUACCCGCUGCCACUGGGUGGCAAGUUUUGGAAACCUGUCCUGAAUUAAGACCUUUACAGUGGAUCUAGAAAUCCCCAAAAGAUAGCCAACUCCGAGUCCCACCAUAAGAGAAGACAGUGAAGACUGCACAGAAUUUUCUACGUUUUAGCGCAUCUAACAGUUGAGGGAAAAACCAAUUUUAAUCAUUUUGCAUUAUUUCAAAACAAUAUUUAUGUGGUAUUUCACAGCUCUCAGAGAAAUAAAGUGAGGUUAAGCUCUUUUUCCUCAUAUAUGUACCAGUAAGCAGCUGGGGAUGUUUGAGAAAAGAAACUAAAGUAGGACAUGAUACUGGAUUGUCCUCUGUCACAUACCAGGGACCCUGAAGUGGGGCCUCAAGAAAUAGCAUGCCAUUUCUUAAUUCCCUAAAUUCUGGUCCCGUCAAGAAAAUGAAAAAAAAAAAAAUCACAUGAAAAAAGCAUGCCAUUUUUAACUGAUAUAUAUAAUCUAUUGAAAUUCUUAUUAGAAAUCCAUUUUUGGAGUUCCCUUGUGGCUCAGCAGGUUAAGAAUCUGGUGGUGUCAGUGAUGUGGUUUGGCCUCGAUCGCUAGUCUGACAACUUGUGCAUGUUGUGUGUGUGGCCAAAACGAAAAUAACAGCAACAACACAACCAGAAACCCAUUUUUACUGGCAGGUUCAAUUCAGGAGACUGCAAAUUUCACAUUAAUCCUCUUCUCUAUUGUCUAUAAUGCAAAAUCCACUUUCCUCUACCUUCAAUAUGGGACUUUUUAUGACUAUUACAAUUCGUUUUAAAAUCCAUUUUAGGAUAUUUUUCCCAAAGACAUUGCAUAGUAACACCUAUCCUUCACAGCAACUGCCAGGGACAGCCAACAUCGUGAAUACUGUUGAUGGAGAUUUAAGCUGAAUCCGGGAAGUCAUGUUAGAGAAAGAAUAAAAAGAAUGGCUUGAAACUGUGCAUAUAAUUUUAACAUGACUCAUUUCCAUGUCAGUCUGAUUUUUUCUGUGAAAAAUAAUUAGUUCCGUCUUCAGGAAGGUAAGGGUACUGGGAGCAAUGCCGUGAUGGACUCUGUUGAGCUGGAGUGGAAGGAACUUAGCCUCUAGGAGAUCAACAAAGGUCUAGGAGCACGCGGGAAAUUCCAUUUCACCAAAUUCAAAUUUGGUUCGGGGCAAGCAGAUUCCUGAGACUCCCUAUUUAAUGUCAUUUGUCCAAUUCAGACAACUCUGCUUAAAUACCCAAUCCGGAAACCAAGUUCCUCUGAGGACAAAGAGGCAUACAGGGUGUGCCUGCGUGUCAAGACCUGAAUAGCUGCACUGGCAACAAAGCUGACGUCUGGGUUCAUUUAGGAUGUUAGAGCUGAAAUUAAACCCUAUUUAUGAUCGUUUUAAAAAUGGCAGCAGUGAUGACUGGGGACAGGUCAUGUUUUAAGCUAACAGCCUCAAUCUCAACACCCAGAGUAUCUUCCUAACACAACUGAGAACGCAGCGCCCUCCUCAGCACCACGACCAUACUUCCCUAUUUGAAUUGCAAAAUGAUGAGACGUGCAGUGGCCUUAUCGUGAAGAUGCUAUUCAUUACAUGAUAUUCUAAAAAGACAAGAGGGGAAAAGGUUCCCACACCCGUCGGUGCCUUUCUCCUCAAGGGAAAAGGCGGAAAGGAGGUCCAUUUCCACAAGCAUAAUGAAAAUACGCUUUGUCAGUCUAUGUUCCCAUCUCCUCUGAUUCCUCCACACACACUUCUUUCUCCCUCCUAUAAAAAGAAGCAAUGGGAAAAAUUUUGCUAGGAAGAAUUAUUUUUGCCUCUGCCAGGGCAUCCCACUCUGCUUAUAAUAAAAUCUUAACACGACCUAUUUCACUUGUUCAGCCCACACACAAGCACCAUUAGGAAUGUCUGUUGUAUAUUAAAACAGCUUAUGUGACAUUGUUUGUAAAUAAGGGCCUAUGUACCAAGGGAUAUUACUAAACAAUUACUAAAAAUAUAUGUGAUAAUGUGAGUUUUGUAUUAACUACUGUGUGUGUAAUAUAAAUAAGUGCAGUGAAGCAAAGGGCAUGAAGAAAAAUGAAAAAUAAAUUCUCCUACGUGCUUGCCAUGUGGUGAUAC